rnacentral:misc_RNA from 1 species
GAUGAAGAACGUAGCGAAAUGCGAUAAGUAAUGUGAAUUGCAGAAUUCAGUGAAUCAUCGAGUCUUUGAACGCACAUUGCGCCCCCUGGUAUUCCGGGGGGCAUGCCUGUCCGAGCGUCAUUGCUGCCCUCAAGCACGGCUUGUGUGUUGGGCUCCGCCCCCCUCCCGGGGGGCGGGCCCGAAAGGCAGCGGCGGCACCGCGUCCGGUCCUCGAGCGUAUGGGGCUUUGUCACCCGCUCUGUAGGCCCGGCCGGCGCCCGCCGGCGACCCCAAUCAAUCUUUCCAGGUUGACCUCGGAUCAGGUAGGGAUACCCGCUGAACUUAAGCAUAUCAAUAAGCGGAGG